rnacentral:rRNA from 1 species
UACAUGCAAGUCGAACGAGUUCUCGUUGAUGAUCGGUGCUGCACCGAGAUCAACAUGGAACGAGUGGCGGACGGGUGAGUAACACGUGGGUAACCUGCCCUUAAGUGGGGGAUAACAUUUGGAAACAGAUGCUAAUACCGCAUAGAUCCAAGAACCGCAUGGUUCUUGGCUGAAAGAUGGCGUAAGCUAUCGCUUUUGGAUGGACCCGCGGCGUAUUAGCUAGUUGGUGAGGUAAUGGCUCACCAAGGCGAUGAUACGUAGCCGAACUGAGAGGUUGAUCGGCCACAUUGGGACUGAGACACGGCCCAAACUCCUACGGGAGGCAGCAGUAGGGAAUCUUCCACAAUGGACGCAAGUCUGAUGGAGCAACGCCGCGUGAGUGAAGAAGGCUUACGGGUCGUAAAACU